AUACGGAGGGUGCAAGCGUUACUCGGAAUCACUGGGCGUAAAGCGCGCGCAGGCGGCUAUUUAAGUUGGAUGUGAAAGCCUAUGGCUCAACCGUAGAACUGCAUCCAAAACUAUUUGGCUAGAGUGUGGGAGAGGAAGAUGGAAUUAGUUGUGUAGGGGUAAAAUCCGUAGAGAUAACUAGGAAUACCAAAAGCGAAGGCAAUCUUCUGGAACAUUACUGACGCUGAGGCGCGAAAGCGUGGGGAGCAAACAGGAUUAGAAACCCCAGUAGUCC
rnacentral:rRNA from 1 species